UACGGAGGGUGCGAGCGUUGUCCGGAAUCAUUGGGCGUAAAGAGCGCGUAGGCGGUCCGGUAAGUCGGUUGUGAAAACUGGGGGCUCAACCCUCAGAGGCCGACCGAUACUGUCGGGCUUGAGGCCGGGAGGGGGUAGCGGAAUUCCCAGUGUAGCGGUGAAAUGCGUAGAUACUGGGAGGAACACCAGUGGCGAAGGCGGCUACCUGGACCGGUUCUGACGCUGAUGCGCGAAAGCGUGGGUAGCAAACAGG
rnacentral:rRNA from 1 species